UACGAAGGGGGCUAGCGUUGCUCGGAAUUACUGGGCGUAAAGGGCGCGUAGGCGGAUACUUAAGUUAGAGGUGAAAGCCCAGGGCUCAACCCUGGAACAGCCUUUAAUACUGGGUAUCUUGAGUUCGGGAGAGGUGAGUGGAAUUCCGAGUGUAGCAGUGAAAUGUGUAGAUAUUCGGAAGAACACCAGUGGCGAAGGCAGCAGAUUGGGCCGGUAUUGACGCUCAGGCACGAAAGCAUGGGGAUCAAACAGG
rnacentral:rRNA from 1 species